AAGCCUGCUGCUACCAUACUGAGCUGUGGUUUUCUUAGUUUUUCAACUUGGCGUCAAUGAGAGGACAUUCUCCUCAGAAGGAAGGAAGACAGUGGGGGUUGGUAGUUAGCAGGGACAGCAAUCCCAGCAAGGUGUGCUUCAGCCUCUGUAUGAUGCCAAAGCAAAUGAGCCACCGCUGGGCAUGGGUGCUGGCACCCUGAGAUGGACAGCAUGUGGAAGGCUUGGUUCUGCCAUGUACCUUUCACUCUCUCUCCAUACGCUGACCUCAAACCAGGCAUGAAAUGUGGCAACCAACAGGCUAGAGAUAUUGCCGUGCCUCAGAAGAGCAAUGAAAUUCUUUGUGUUUCGACCCUGAGAAGAUACUCUCAUGACUGUAGUAGCCACCAUACUUUCUGACCAGGAACCAGAUAAAGGGUUCAGCAAGGAGACCCAGAAGACUGUACUCAAGUACCCGAGGGCCGUGUUCUAUCAAAUGGAAGUCAAAGAUAAAAAAAAUUGUCAUGUUAUGGGUCAGCAGAGUGAAUAAAAGUUCUCCUACCUCUGCA
rnacentral:lncRNA from 14 species